rnacentral:rRNA from 1 species
UACGGAGGGGGCUAGCGUUGUUCGGAAUUACUGGGCGUAAAGGGCGCGUAGGCGGUGCGAUCAGUCAGGCGUGAAAGGCCCGGGCUCAACCCGGGGACUGCGCUUGAUACUGUUGCGCUGUGAGUCCGGGAGAGGAUGGCGGAAUUCCCAGUGUAGAGGUGAAAUUCGUAGAUAUUGGGAAGAACACCGGUGGCGAAGGCGGCCAUCUGGACCGGCACUGACGCCGAGGCGCGAAAGCGUGGGGAGCAAACAGG